rnacentral:rRNA from 1 species
GAUGAACGCUGUCUACAGGCUUAACACAUGCAAGUCGAGGGGAAACGACGGGGAAGCUUGCUUCCCCGGGCGUCGACCGGCGCACGGGUGAGUAACGCGUAUCCAACCUGCCUCUGACUGAGGGAUAACCCGUCGAAAGUCGGCCUAAUACCUCAUGGCAUCGUCUGCGGGCAUCCAACGACGAUUAAAGAUUUCAUCGGUCAGGGAUGGGGAUGCGUCUGAUUAGCUUGUUGGCGGGGUAACGGCCCACCAAGGCUACGAUCAGUAGGGGUUCUGAGAGGAAGGUCCCCCACAUUGGAACUGAGACACGGUCCAAACUCCUACGGGAGGCAGCAGUGAGGAAUAUUGGUCAAUGGGCGGGAGCCUGAACCAGCCAAGUAGCGUGCAGGAUGACGGCCCUAUGGGUUGUAAACUGCUUUUAUGCGGGGAUAAAGUGAGGGACGUGUCCUUCAUUGCAGGUACCGCAUGAAUAAGGACUGGCUAAUUCCGUG